GGCCGGCGAAAAACCUCGUUGUUACUCGAGGUUCGUGGUGUUUCGCGAUAACCAGAGUGGCAAGAAUUUUUGGCUUAGAUUAAGGUGAUUUUUGCUUCGGAUACCAAGUUAUGGAAAUUCGUUACAGACAUAAUGUGUAUUCUAUUGGCAUUAGAGGGAGGAAAUGGACUACAGCGUUGCACAAACGUUAAGAAACACUCUGUGUACGUUGUAAUUAAGUGACGAGCAAUUACUUCUUGUCCCUUGAAUAUGACGAAACGGAUAGUGGCGCAAGAUACAUGAAGAUCCAUUAAAAAUCGAUGCGUGACACUUGGUACGGUCUGAUAAGUGUCGAUCGUGGCGUGGCAGACGAAGAAGAGCGGCGCCGUCUAGUGUUUCAACAGGACCGUUCGUCGGUUGGGUAAAAGGGGUUAGGCUAAGUGGCAAAUACUGGAUAGCGACGAGGUUCGAGUGGCGUCUCGUUUUUCUUACCAGGCUGCCGCGAUCGUCAAGGUGAAGGGGCCUCUCUAUAGGUUUUCGGAAAUGGAGGCUCGGUCACGAUGGCGAUAUCACGCACGUUUCGAACCGCUUUCGAGCGUUUAGCUUCGAUUGGAGAGGUGGCUGCCGGAUUCCGCGGAAGAAAUAAAACGAGACCUCCGUCUGAAAUCGUACGGGGAGCACCGGAAAUUUCAACUCCCAUUCGAUUUCCGCCGCGUUUACGGCCAACCUGGCUCGUUAUCCCCCGCGUUUUUAUCUAACACGGCACGAGGCGGGUUUGAUUUAUUGCUAAAUACGCGAGGGUCGUUCGGUGGCCGCUGCUGACUUUCGCUUCAACGACCCUUGCGACGAUUGUAUCACUCCUUCCCAUUUUAUAACACUUGCUUUAUCGUGUAUAAUAUAUAUUGAGUAUUUAAUUCAACGAAAUUCUCUAACGAUAUUAUUGUAAAUGUAUGGAGUACAUUUUUUUAUUGGAGUACAAAAUUUAUACGGAAAAUUUUUGUGAAUGUAUUAUGUGAAUUGUACGAGACUUUUUGAAAUUUCGGUAGUACUAUAACGAAAUACGAUUGUCGAAAUAUAUUGAUAACAUUUUUAAUCGAUCUCGAUGAUAGACAUUCACGUUCACUUUACUCUACUUAUUCUAAAUCAUUUUCCUUUUACAGUAAACGGCAACGAAUGGCAGUAAUUGCGACCAAACGCGACUCAUGUAAUGGAACGAGAGUGGAAUCGCGUAAAAUUACGAUUAAAUGGUUAUAAGACUGGUUUAUGUGACCGAUACCGUGGACCUGUCCGUUCCCUUUCGCGGCAAUUGAUUGCGAACGCUGUCGGCCGAUCGGUAUCGUUUUUAUUUAUGAAUCAGGAGCCCGUUACCAGGGCGCAAUGUAAUGAAGCAAUUGCCGCGUUCGAUUUGCAAUUUGUUCCCAUUGCGAUUUUAAUCGAGAUCAAGUACAAUCUGAACCCGUUCACGCGGAUACGAGAAGCGUUACUGACAUCUCGAAUAUACUCGAUUGCGCAGAAGAAGCGAAACGAGACGAUAACAAAAUUAUCUACUUUUAUAUCGGCCUCGGGAAUCGAAAAAUGAAAAGUUUUUCAGAAAGAAUUCAUUUGAAAUUGUAGAUAGAAUACUCCAGAAACCGAUUAUCAAUGAUUUAAUUUUAUCCAUUCUAUAUAAUCUAUAUCACUAUCACGCGUUAUUCAUAUCUAAUCUUUUGAGUGACGAACUUCGAAGGUGGAUAAAUUAACAAACCACACGUUAGUGUCUUCUCCUCCACUUCGUUGAAAUUAUAAGAAUAAGAAUUGAAGGUAGAUAAAACUCGUCUAAUGGACGCAUUGUAUCUAACCUGGCUCCCAAUGUCAGCCGCCAGAGAUACGGUAAGUGACAGAAUACAAACACGCUCGCACGAGCAUCUAGAUAACGCCAUUUUCAGAGGAAACCUGGCCAUUUGGAAGGAAGACACGGUCAAUGUUAGCACACGUCACGUCCUCUGUCGCAUUGCCGCCAGUUCCGCUCGUAUCAUGAACUGUCACGCCGGCUCUCCCGGUUAUAAACACUUGGUGCGUAACUGCACACUUUAAAGCUGCAAUAUUCGAGGGAGGUAACAAGCGACUGAAUAAACAUCGACCACCUUGCUUCGCGUGCCAUCCUUGUUUCAAUUCUACUCCGGUAGUUUACCGCUAUUCAACAUCUUAAUUUAAUCCAGAACCGCGACAUGUAACACGUGUCAUGGGAAGUUCACGGCUGCAAAUGUUUGCUUACAUCGAGAAUAAUGGAACAAUUUCAAUUGGUAAUAUGUUUCAAGAUUAUCGUUUACGAUAAAACAAAAUGAUGAUCGGUAAAAAUAAAAUUAAUAGUAAUAUAUAAUCGUGAUAAAAAUACAACGACAAAAUAUAGUCAUACAAAUUUACACUGCCCGCAACUUAAUCGUCAAGCGUAAGAGAAUCGAUAGUUUCCGUAUACCACGAAGAUCGAAUCGUACUUCGCAACACGGAAGUUAGUAUUCAAGGUCACAGGGGCUGGGUAACUUCAAUGGUCGAGGUAGAGGAACGCGUGACUCGAUCCACGGGGCUCGAGAACGUAAUCCCAUAGCAAUGUUUGCCGUCCGUGACGCGAUACCGAUCGCGUCGUGCAGCCUGAUGGAACGAGAAGGGAAAAGCGGAUCGCGCGAUGUUCGACUGUUUAUCGUUGUUAUUGUUUUUCGACCCUAUCUCAGCCCAGCCACCCCCAUCCCGGCGGAAUCCGAUUUGUAAUGGAAAUGCAAUGUUCAAUGCCGGUUUAAUCCUUCGUCCGCCGUAGGAGCCUUUUGUAACGCGCUGCUUCCAGGGAAAAAGCGGAGGAAACGGACGGCUUUAGAGAUCCGUCAUAAUCGUUCUAGGGCGAUCUUUAUUUUUCGUACAAACGUCGCUGCUUGAGAGAGAGAAAGAGAGAGAGAGAGAGAGUCAACGAGAUUUUUUGCGAAAGAUUACGUCCGAGUAUUCGAUAGCGCACACGGAGCAUCAAUGACAAACUACAUAAAUGGUCACGUUUCCAAAAGCAUUAUCUCGUUCGUUGCUCGUGAACUCGCUCUCGCGGAUGCAAAACUAACCCCCGUAGAAAAAACGACCAGAGCAGUUUCCCACUUAACAAACGAAAACUUCCAACCAACCCGAAAAUGUGCAAAAACGGGAAAACCACAAACGCGAAUCUCCUCUCUACGCUCGUACCUUUUACUUUUUGCCAACAAUUAAAAGAACGUAAGUAUCGCCAGAGGGGUUGUUAAGCAACGGUUAGGAGUUCCUUCGCGAAGUAAGGGAAGUUCGGUCGAAAUAGCGACUCGGAGUCAGAGUGGAGAGAGGCGGCGAGCGGAAGGGUGACAAAUCAAUGGCGGAUGGUAGGGUAGGUAGCGGCAUAUGAGCGCUGGGCUCCUAUCUUAUCAACGCAUUAUUCAACGGCGGAGGCUGCUCGGGACUCUAACUGCCUGCAUUUGCAUAAAUCCAUAGAUCUCCCGGACCUGCUCGGCUGCCCGGCCGUGUCUAUCCAUCUCUGGAUGCAUGCAUACAGCAAAUUACAGUGCCCGCAAGCGGAAUUGUGGGUGGCGGACCCGUGUCCUUCCCCCUCUGCCUGCCCCCCCCCUUUCACGAAAGGACCCCGAAGGGAGCCAACACGCUUGCCGGCUAGGUAAGGCCAAUGGAAGGGGCUCGGUAACAUUCACUUUGCCGGUGGCUUUGUAUUGGAUCGUUAACGACACCCCUUCCUGUGUACCUUCUGUUAUCACCCUACGCUAUCUCUCUUAUUGUGCGCCCUUCCUUUUCUAUGGGUCUACUAGGACUGGAAAAAAUUUCGUGCACAUCUCCAGGAUUCUGGGAGAUAGAUAAUCGGUUACGUGUUUAAUGGUUGAUGACUGAGUCGAAGAAUGGUAAAAAAUACCGCGUAGAAUCGUUUUAUAGUUAUACACUAUCGAUCUAAAAUUCCGUUACGUUAAAAAACUGUUCAGGGAAAUAUCGAACGAGGUAAAGACUGUUGCUGCGAGAAUUAAACGAUAGUAGUGGAACGAUGUUGAAGAUCGACCAUACGUUUUUGCUCGAAUGAUAGUUUUAAGAUUAUUGGUCGUCGUGACCCAGUAUGGAAUCGAUGCAAACUUUAUCCUGUUUGCAGAUCAAUUUUACGCCGAUAUAAGAAACUUCGCAAAAAUCCAGUAACCCGUAACAAAAAGUACUCGCUGAACCAUUCACGCACUGAAAUUGGUCGGUUACAUCCGUUGAAAAUUUCUCCACGAAAGUGAUCCGCACGCUCAAAUACGCGCGGGAGAUCCUCGUUUAUCGAAUCCAUUUGCGAGAUCACGCGAACGACGUAUCCGCGGUAAGACGAGUCUAACGGAUCGCUAAUCAGCAAGUGAAACAAAAGGAUUUCCACGGCACAGAGGUGGCGGGUUUCCACGCGGAUCUAAGGUCUCUCUCUCUCCCUCUCUCUCUCUAUUCGUCUCUGGAGAGGAUUGCCGGGCCACUCAGCUACGGAAUGGUUCGUUAGCAAAAGGAGACGAAACUGUAAGUCCCGGUGCAAAUACCGUCGAUUACGUGCUCGCCUGUACGAUUCGGUCUUCGUUGAAUUUCUCCGCGAACGGUAUCACGGCAACACGGUAAUAUUUGCAAAGCUUUGUUAUCCGACCGACUCACAAAACCGGCGAUCGUAUGCAUUGCGAUUCGAAAAUUUAUUCGUUCGAUGAAUAAUUUAACUCCGGUUAUCCCUAUAUCCUGUAUGAAUUAUCGCGUCCUCGCUCUGUCAUACGCGAAUACCGUCGAAAUUUCGUUUGGAAAACAACGCGAAGAAAAACGUUGUUUCCAGGCAUAACUCACGUGGAUAACGUUCUCGAUAAUGCCUUAGCAAUCGAAAAUUCAGAUUACCUUUUUCAUCGAGAAUUCGAAGCGUUCAAUUUCGUAAAACGAGGCCAGCUUUCAACGAACUUUUUAAUAAAUCGACUGACCCAAUUUCUCUUCUGACCCGUGUACGCAGGAAACGGAACAAUAAGCAGUAUCAUAGAACCGAUCGCGUUGAAAUCGCGCGGUAAAACCCACGGCACGAAACGAGACGGAAUUUUUGACAAGGCUUUUUCGCCCGACCGAUAAAAUAUAUUCAUUUUCCUAUUGAAUUCGCAGAUAAUUGGUGCGAGUCUGAGAGUGUCUGAUACCGAUCCCCGAGUUCUCACGAGUCGGGUGCAACGGACGCGUAAUAAAUUCCAGGUUUACCUAUUCUGCUUGCGACAGGAAUUAUUCGGCGAGCUCGUAGGUGCACGAUCGAUUUAACCGGGCGAGGAUGAAAUACGAGAGACGCGCCAAUUCGUUGCACCGAUUCAGUCGUUCCUGUACCAUUACCUGUCGAUCCUCUGCCGAUUGUUUCACCGACUUUUUUCCUGUCCCCGAUUAAAAAUUUCGAAAAAUAUUCCGCUAACGACCACGCAAACUCUACUAAUUCUUCGAGAUCGAAAGACUUUUUAUACAAAAGGAAAGAAUCUAUUGCGAGGAAAUUUUGAAAAAUUUGCAUUUCUUUAUGAUGUAAAGACAUGUAGUACGACGUACUACAUAUUUGGCGACAUUUACAAAACCUAUGACUAAAUCAUGGCAAUCCACUGAACCGAUCUUAUGAACUUGGGUUUAGGAAACAUUACGCUUUACCAUCUUCAGCCACAAUCAGCAACGAGUUUCAUCCGUAAGUCCACUUAUAAUCUAAAAGCAGGACUCCGGUGCUACCCGUACAUCGAUACAACAGCCUGAACGAGUUUAUUCCGGAGGAGCCAGCUGCUCACCCUUAAAAACACCGUUGUCCUCUUGAGCGGUGCAUCACGGACGCGUUAUCUGCCGGCUGCUCGAACAACGAUAGGGCAGUACGAGGGUGGAGAGUGCGAAGUUAAGUCGAGCCCUUGCUCGAAUGUCUCUGACGGCAGCGAGACGAGUAGUUAAUUAACACCUCCCGUUACCCAUACCCUUCUUCAUCCCUUGCAUCCGGUGGAGGCUAGCUUUUCCGCAGAACAGGCGCGGUGGCAGCCGCCUUUUUCACGGUGGAGGAACGGUCUCCUUCGCAGAAUUCGCCCGCGUGGCUGGCUUUUUCAAAGCUGCCGUAACCCCGGCGAGAAGUUGGAAAAGGAUCUCCUUCCUUCGUAAUUUUUUCCGUUCUCCUCCCGUCGACCACGAAGACCGAUAGUGACCGAGAAGGAUCUAGAGGAGGAGGAUCCACCGUUUUGGAACUGGCGCAAAAGACUCCGACGAUGGGGUUUGAUCGUUCAAGUGGUUGGUUCUUACAUUGUCAGCGUUCUCUUCUUCUCCAAACUGUCGAUGGAGCAAUUUUCUGCGAUUGUGGCAAAGUGGUGGAAUUGGGAGCAGAUCGUGUGAUGUCGAGCGGGUGGUGUUCUCGCGAGGACUAGAAAGUCAUCAAAGAGGGAAAUAAACGACGUUCCGGCGAACACAGAGCAUGCGCUCGGUAAUAUCUCAGUUGGAUACAGCGAAAUUUUCGUCGUUGUUGACCACUACGCCGAAGGAUCCAGUAUCGCGAAUGCCUCGAGGACAAACAGUUUCACCGAAAAACGAGGAGAGCAUCAGCUACGGGAGUGGUGGAUGAAGAGAAGGAGAGGAUGCGAAUGGAACAAGACGCAUGGACCCUCGUCUCUGAAGGCUGGAAUAUUCCAAAGGACGGUACGUCCAAACGGCUUACCGGAUUAUCCGAUAAUCCCAUUACAGCGAGGUCAUAAAACCAUGGAGCUCCAGCUCGAAGCUCGAAAAAGAGCUGUUCGUAAACGGGAGGAAAAUAAAUAAUAAGCCUGGAACCGCCGUUGAAUUGACGUGCUUGGUUGCACGAAGGGAUAAAGACUCCGUGAACUAAUGCCAGACCGGUGCUAAGCGACAAGAAUCGCGAUUCUCGCUGUAAAUUGAGGAUAACGCGAGCAGACGGUUGGUGAAGAAGGGAUUGGUAAAGUCGAGCGCGAGGAGGGCACGAGGGUGGCACGGAAGAAAAAGCACAGGCGCGAGAAAUGGCGCGCUGGAUAAGAACGACGGACAUUUCUCACGUUCGGCGCUCAUGAAUCAUGGAAGAGUAAUCCUCGCAAAUAGCUGUCGUCUAAGAAUUUCACUAAACCUCCACUGCCGCGACCACUUCGACAUAUGACGGAUAUUACCUCGCGUAAUCGUCGCGACGAGAACUGGUCGAGUGUUCGUUGGAGCUGACUGAUUCAUUUUACAUAAGUUUGAUGUUUGGACGUAUUGGUUUUAGCGUUUUGCGGUUGCUCGAAUAGAAUUGUUUCGACGGUUUUAAUAAUUUCCAGGUUUUCGUAAAUUUUAUUGCUCAAUGUAUAUAGAGAUCGUAGUAUAAAAAUUUGUUCAGUGUAAACUUAAAGUAUUUAUUAAUUGGAAGGUGCGUGUGUUUUUUGGGAGUUGUUUUUUCAAUGAGGUUUCAAAACUAUGUAUUUUUAAAUAUACUCCAAUAGCUGUGUCAUCUCGCAGUGUCAUUUUAUUUGCAAAUUAUUUAUAUUUUAUUUAAAGUUAUAUGUUAUAUGCAUUCGCAUUGAUGCGAUAACGGAAUCCCAUAAUGAAUGAUUUAUACCAUUCUAUUUCGGAUCUCUUCAUUCAUAAAGAAAAACUCUAUGAAACUUGACAUCCAAACGAAUCGCCAUUUCCAAGAUUGAAAUCCGUCUCGCGUCAGUAUGAGAACAGGGUCAUUAAGAUGAAUUUCCGCAGAAGGGGAUCAAGAAUUGGUUUUCGGGACGGCAAAUGUUACCGAGACAGCUGAUAAAUGGUAGAUAAACGUUUCUUUUUAAUGACAGCCACGGUUCGCACCUGGAAAGGAUUUCACCGGCUGCUCCUUCUCGCCCGUUCGUCAAAAAGAAGGAUAGCCGUUCAUGGAAGUUUUUCCUUGCAAAUGCAAGAUAAAUAACGCUUAUCUUUCUCGCGGGUUAGACUUACCUCCGUCUCGCCCCUCUCACCCCAUAAACUUCUUCCAUCGUUCGAACGUACCAGCCAAGAUAACCAAGAGAAAUCCUAAGGAAUUUUCAAUGUGGCUCGUAGCACGUUGAAUUUAUCGAUAGAAUUCGAGGCAGAGCUGCCGUCCAUUCGCACCAUGGAGAAGAAAAUCGGAGCAACGAUACGCUCGGCGCACCUGCAAUCCCUGUGGAGUUCGUUAACGCACGAUUAUGGCCUGUUGGCCAUCAUUUUUCAUUCCCAUCCUGCUGAAAAUACGUAUUUCCGGGAUUUUAUGCACGAUACGCAAACAACAAGAAGAAACGAUAAAAGUACAUAUAUAUUUGAGAUUGAAUAAUAUCAUACAGCGGAUGUUUGAUCGAGCUCUGAUCAAACUCUGAUUGAGCUGCUGUCCAUUCGAAUCAGCAAACGAUAAAAAUCUUCUAAAGCCUUCUACCUUUCGAUGCAAAAAUAUAACAAAGCUGAUAUCAAAUGCAAUAUUUUAAAAAUUUGGUCAAUUUUUCCUACACCAACAAAUUGUAAUAGAUACGCGAGUCACAGAGGGAUAGAUGCGAUUAAAUUGGUGAACAGCGUAUAGGGAAGAAGGGAAAUUCCGCGUCUGGAGGUUAAAGCUUGAGGAAGGGGUGCAGGAUUGCACGUAGCGGGGGAAAAUGUCGGUGGAAGAUCCAAAGGGGGUGAUCCCAGGGACGGUAAGAUAACGCUGUUGGUUUAAACCGUAUUACCUAAGCCGGUCGGUGAGCGGAAUACGCGGUCUGGCCACCUGCAUCUGCACCAUACUACCCUCUGCAUGCGCGUGUUGCAUUAAGGGUGUAUCGUAUGCCGCAUAAAGAUGGGAAACACGCACCUUCAGGGCGUCAUGCAGUCUCGAUUAAAAAGAACGAGAAUAAGGAAAGAAAGAGGAAAGAUGUUUCUUAAGCUUAGUCACCGGUAAGCCGCGGGCAACUUAUUCACAACAUAUUUCUAUUCAUUCUGCCAGCAACCAUCCGCUAUCUGUAUGUGGCAAUUUUCAGACUGGUCUCCUAAGAUUUUUUAUGGCUGAUACGGAAGUACCUCGAAUGAAAAUUGGAACGUUGCUUUGAGCUUUGAUUUUUAUUCCAGAUCUUUCUGGUCUUUUAUUCGGAAUAGAACGAAGGAUUUCGAUAUACGAGCACCUCGGAACCCAAACUGACUAAUUCCACAUUUUAUUAAUUUCUUAAUUUCACAUACCACAUUAUUCGUAUAGUUGCAGUGUUCAGAUAUUUAACACCGUGAAAUCCUCGAGCACUUCUGACGUUAUAAAUACUCCUAUAAUUUGGUUUCAAGGGGUGCUAUUAAUUUUUAAUUAAGUUAGACCCUAUAAUUACAAACUAUAAACUUCAACAGAUAAGAGUGAAAUCAAAAAAUUGUCGCUACGAAUAUCGUCGAUGAAAGUCUCGAAGAUGGAUAUUCUCCUCCUAUAGAAGCGACUACAGUUUACACAUGAACGUUCACUUCGUCACAGACACAGUCUGAUAGGUCAAUAGAAGGAGCUUCGAGCUUGAAUCGAGCCGUUAGGAAGGUAGAGCACACGUUUCGUUCGGUCGCAUCACGUGCACGUUCGAGUUAACACCGCGAACCACUUCAAAUCUGACACCGCAUUGACGCACGUAUGCCACUGGCUAAAGUGUGCAUGUUUGCACUGACAGUGUUCUGCUAACGAACCUAUCGUUGCGGCUUCAGCCAACCGUUUCUGAACCCUUUUCGUAAAUCUGUUCGCUCUGUCUGAACCUACACUUCGUCUUCGCAACCUCUAACAUCGGUUACCCUCGCUUCGCGUCUUUUCGAUCCAUGCUCAUAACCAAAUCCAAUCUGAUGAACUUACGCGCGAAUCAGAAUCAUUCGUGGUUCAACCGAAUAUUUGCAACGACAUACAUAAUCUACGCGAAUAAUCUGACGGUAUCGAAACACUUCUACAGGAUAAACGAUAGUUGGUUUAGCGCGAUGCAUUACACAUGAAAUAUUCGCAACAUGAAAAGGUAAAUAAAUGAUGUUGUGCCAAUACCAACGUUAUAAUUGAUAAGUAAUACGAUAUUAAUACUUCGAUCCUAUUAAUUAAAAUAAAUUAUAAACGCAAUGUUAUACUCAGAUCAGAAGAAAAGAACGAAUUAAACGCUAUCAUCGCUUAAUAGUUAUUCGUAUGGUAUUUAGUCUUUUCCAGGGUUUCAAUUACAAUGUAACAUAUCAAUCGCUCGCGUAAACCUUCAAAAAAGAAAGAGAACAAAAAGUAGACGAAUUUGAAAUAACCCUCGAGCUAUUCCCUUUAACUUCGUCCUUUCCUCUUCUUUCAUCACAUUUUAACCACAUGACAGUGUCCACAUGAAUGAGGCAGAGGCAAUGCUAGCCGCAAAUCGCGUGGUGUAUCCUUGCAACUGCACGAAAUUCUUAGACGUGCGAGUGGUGAAUGAGGUCGGUGCGCCACAGCAAAGCCACCGAAUGCAACGGCUCGUUCCGUCGAUGCGGUUCAUGGAAAGGGUGGAACGAGGUACACGAGAGAUAGGGAGGAACGGAUCGAGGGAGGAGCAGAGACACGGUGGAGUAGUAACGUAACGCUAAUCCAAUUUGCUAUGGCGCUGCACUUUGCGCGGGCACCAUUUUCAAAGAGGGACACGCGGCAGAAAUUGGGCUGAACGCGACGAGGAAAUACCGUCUCUACGUGACCGUAAAUAGCAAAUAAUAGCGGAUGACCUAUCCGAUCCAAUGCGAAUAAAUGAUUUUUCGUUUAUAAAUAAAUAUAGCAUCGAAUCGUUGUAAAUAAUGCGAAAAAACAAAUAGGAUUUUUUGUUGAAAGACAAAAUUAGUUCAUCGAGGUUAGUCGGUAUUUUCUGUUUUAUAUCUAUUGAGCAAUUUUUUUUCUCUAAAUCAACUUAGUCACCUAUCUAUCCAACCUUGAAACACUCCUGAAACCGAUUUACGUUGCAAAAACUGUUCGCUUCCGUGAACCCCGAAACGCGUUGCCUAACGAAAUAGAGUCAGUUUGUAAUGGCCGAUGUGUUACAGGAGAGCCGAUAUCGAUCGUUAACAAAAUAUACCCAAUAUCAACAUCGAUGACAUAGCAAACUUUCCCAAAAAAUACAUAUAUGUAUAAAGGAGAAGAAAAAUUGACUACACAAAUCGAGUUGAAAGGGAGAGAAAUAUAUGCGAUCGCGUUUCAGUUUUGCGAUUUAUUUAGCGAGUUUGACCUCGAACCGUCUAUAUUCGCUUAUAAACUGACAAUACACCGAGCAGUUAAGAAACGGUAAACUUGCGUUGGUUAAUUAGCCGGAGAGUUUCAACAGAGUUGCUUGGAAUCCGCUUCGAGAUUUGUUCGAAUACGAGAACACGACGGUGAAACGCGGUCAAACAACAGUUAGAGGAAGGGCGAACGUUACCUGUCAGAAACAGUUACGAACGCAUUUAAGGGACUUAAAUCGGGAUGUCUGUCCUCGGGACGAGCGGCUGGUUCUUGCAAAUUGAGGAAUUCACGGAAUCCACAGCAACUUCCGACCCGAUAAUACAGAAUCUAAACCAAACCGAUCUCAGAAUAAAUUCGAACGAGUCGUAUUUGAACGAACGAGCAAUUAAUUUCAGUUUGCCAACUUCGUUUGCAUUCUCGAUUACGAUUUCUGAAGUCGAGUGCAAUUAUCGAUGCAAACUUGCCGCGAAAAAUCGACGUGCCCUUAUCUCCUUAUCGACGCUGGUUCGUCGUAUUUCGAAGAAACGUUUGAAAAUAUUUCCAAGUCAAGAGGCAAAACGAAUAUAAUUUCUAGAAUAAGUAAACGACGAUAAAUGAAAUAUUAGCUGAAGCACUGAUAUUUACGAUCUAAAUAUUCUUCGAAAUUUAUUUAUUAUUAAACAAACUGUAAACACUGUAAACUACAUAGAAUUCUUCUGGUAAUGAAAUCGUCAGUAGUCGUUUCCGAGUAUCUAGAGUGUAAAGUGCAGGAAGAGUGUGCGAAGUUUCUAGAGAGCCCUGGUUUAGAGUUUGAUAACGCGCACUAUUUAAAGUUUACGGGGUAUAUUCCAGUUAUUAACUAACAAAUCCAGUUAUCGUUAAGUUAAAGAAUCUCCUCGCGUGCGAGAGUAUACUCAGUGUUCCAUCGCGAGUAACACAAUAUUGAGCGUUAAAACGAGAAACACAGACAACAAGAGAAACUAUUUACGUUGGAUAUUUCGAGUUAAAACGUCUGCCAGAUAUCGGGAUAAGCAAAGGCCAAGUCUCAUACAGAGUCUCUUUUCGAAAAUUUAAAAUAUUCGACUGGAUAUUUGCAAAAACACGAAGAUAUUUCAGAAGCCGGAGGGUGCUUCCGAGUAAAUAAGAAACGCGGAGCUUGAAAGCUUUCACCAUUUAUCAAGAAUUAAAAGGCACCCAGCGCUUGCUAAAAAAAAAGCCCCACGUCUGGUCGUCUCGUAAAUUCGAUGAUACGAAUCUAACCAGAGUCUCCAACUUACCUCGAGAGCGUCGCGUUUACCCAGUUUUGUAAACUAACCACCCCAUACACUUUCAUUUAUUUUAUGAAAAGCAAAUCCGCCGUAACGAGAUAACGUGCUCCUUUUUACCUCGACAUCGACGAAACUCGUUGCUACGUUACAGUGCCCGGCUACUGUAUUAAGAAAAAUUAAACUCCCAUGUCUGUUUUCUUCGUGGAUGAAUACACCGAACUGAGAAAUUUGAAAUAACACAGAAAGACAUUUUCACCGAACGAUAUUGAGCAAUUCUCUUUUUCAAUGAACGAAUAAAAAUCGAAUUCUGCCAUUCAGAAAUAAAUAAAUUGAAUUACAGAGAAAGGUGAUGAUAUAUAGGGACAUAAUUCUUUUAAUUUAUCUCAGAAUUUACUGUUAUUUACGUGAUUUUGUUAGAACAAAUGAAAUUAUGAAUGUAACACAUUUGUUUCUUGAGAAUUUAAUGUACUUGUGUAAUAAAAGGCAGGAUUGAACAACAGAAGUAAUAAUUGUUUAAUAACGAUCUUCACACUCGAUCGAUCGAAAUCGGCUGAUUUUGGAUGUCGAUGCAUCUCGCGUAACACGAAAAAGGACAGGAGAGAAACAGAAAAACGACAGACGAGAAAAUCAGCGCGGUACGCCCUCGUAAAUAACAAGAUAAUUUAUGAUCGUUACACAAUGAUCGUCAUAAAUUGUAUUUCUGCCGGACGACAGAACGUGCCGUUAUGCGAGGAACUCCGGUUCCGCUGGCGCCCUCCAUGGUGCGCGUCCCGACGUCGAUAUAUUUUACCACGGGAACGCGAUACAUGGCCAGCAUAAUUUAUCUGUUUUCAAAUAUGCCCGCACCGAUAAAUUUACAUAUUUUAAUAUAAAUUCCUAAAUGCCGGAUCUGCGACGGCCGCAGGACACGACAACUUUAUCGAUCAUUUUUAUCGUUCUUCCGCGUGUUGUCUUCUUGCAACUUUCGUCCCAUUCCUUUCCAUUUCCUUUGUCGUGAAAUUUUAAAAAAUGCAGACAGGAAAAUAGGGUUCAUAACAGGGUCUGUUCAUCGAUUUUCUUUUUUAAUAAUAGAGCGCAACGGCUGGUAAUUGGGAAAUCCUUGAUACAGCAGGGAUGAAGAGCAAUUGAGAGGUCUAAAAAAUUUAUCAGGAAUUUUGGAAGGCCGCGAAAAAAUUCCAUACCGCAUAUCGACCGCGAAUCAAAAUUUUUCGCAUCUUGUGGAAAGCAUAGCGUGGUUUAAUCAAGUCACGAUUCCAUAGAAUCGUUUCAUCGACGCGAUUCCCAACCUUCGAUUCUCUAUCCUCUCGAAAAAGAAAUAUCAGGGAAUUAAAAAAUUCAGUGGUCUGUUUCUUGACCAUUAUCCUUGCGAGGCAUCGGUACAAGUAUAGAUUCCUUCUGGAAGCUUCGUGACAAUAUAUGACAAGUACAGAACGUUUCAAAGUUGGCGGUAUAACGAAAAAGUUUGAAACAGGUGUCCCUAAAAAAGCUCGCCGAGUAAAUAAAAGAAAACUUGUUCAAAAAUUACAUUUUUAUUAUGACAGAUUGCCAGACAAACAGAACAGAGAAAGGUUAUUAACCGUGAAAAGUGGAGCCCGCAAGUUGGGAGCAUCCUGUGCACGAAGCCCCGAACUACUCGAAGCUCGUCGGAAGUUGUUUGACACCUUAACUGUCCCGUGCACAGAGAUGCCUCGAGUGACAGUAAAGCUGUGCACAAUGUGAGCUUUUGCCUUGGCUGUCGGAAGUUUGCGUGCAAACCUCCUCCUUCCAGCGUCGAGCAAAUGUACACUCGUACGUUGACGUACAUGCUCAUCGAGUGUUACGACUUUUGCCGUCGUAAAACUUUUGCUUCCUUUUUUUCCCUCGUAAUUCCUUUUUAUUCCUCUGUCAAAUGUAUAUUCGAUAACGGUUACCCGUUGAUUUCAUUUAAAUUUAUUAUCACAGUACGCGCGUUUCUACGAUGUAACAUUUAUUAACGCGAUAAAUUACAAUUUUAACGAUGUUGCUGCAUUUUCAUUUUGCUCAACUUUCGAAACACGAAAGUGGAAAAAAAGGAAACACACGAGGAAAAAGGGAAAAAGAUACCAACGGUUAAGUACUUUUCGGGUUGUCCCUGUGAAAAUUGAAUUUCCACCGGUCUCGCAGUGAAUCGGUCAAUUAAUGCACGAACGUUUGACGUGGAGUCAUCCGCGUCGCGAUAAAUUGCGAUCGAAUUUUCGAGUGCACCGUAUAUUUAACGAAAUCGCGAGCCGCGGUCUAUUAGCGAACGCAUUACGUAAAUUAUAUUGGGCUGGCGCAUUAAUCAGUGCAAGAAAUAUGCUCUGACCACGUACACGGAAUAUUUAAUGACGGUUCCGCGUGUGCGUGAAGCUCGAGCGAGCGCGACACAACGCGCGUUUCAUUCUCACUAUCCGCCGACGAUUACAACUAAUUAGAGAUAGCCCGAUCGCGGGUAAGGGCAAGACUUGUAGUUAGUAACUGUUGCUCGCGUAUCUCGAAUUAAUACCGAGUCCGGUCACGCAGCCCAAUAAUAGCGCCAAUCAUUGAAUCCUAAGGAGCCGCGGAGCCUAUAAUUAUGCCGCGGCUGUG